rnacentral:lncRNA from 1 species
CCCGUCGUCUGGAACAGGGCAUCUGCCCUCUCCGCCAUAGGGAGCGCACGGCCGCCGCCUGGCCGCCUCCUCCGUCGUCCGUCGUGGCUGAAAUCGCGGUGGAGGCCGAGCUUUGUCUCGCCGGAAAGGUAAGUUCCAAAUCUUCCCCCUUUUCCUCUCUUUUCUAUUUUUAAACCCAGAUCUGAAAUUUCCCCCUCUUUUCCUCUUUUCCGGCCGGUCAGGAACAGCCCGUUGCUCCCGCCGCCGUGUCGCCGCUGCCGAUGCCGCCGCAUCGUCGUCACCGGAGAAGAUGAGUCCUCCCUUCUCUCUCUCUCUCUUCCCCUUUUUCCCGUCUCUCUCUCUCUUUUAUUUUUUUUAUUUUAAACUGAAAUCCUAACCAAUUCUCUCUCUACCCUCUUCUCUCUCGUUUUUGGCAGGACAAAGGCUAGGCGGUUACCGCCGCGCCGUCGCCGGCCAUGAGCAGCCGCCGGCUGCUCUCACCCCCGUCACUCCGUUCCCGGACACACACACAAGACAGAGUACAAGAACCCCCAAAAUUUCAGUCCAGAUUCACAAGUAUAGCAAAGCUAGGGUUUUGUUUAGAAAUCUGUUCUUUCAUCAUUCAUUUAUCAUUUCCUUAGCAAAAAUCAAACCUUGUAAAUGUAAUAGCUUAGAAAAUAUAUUAACAUGUGUGCGUGCGUAUUCUUCUGUUGUUCUUUGAUGCUUGAUUCGAAAUUAACUAGAAAAAAAUAUAUAAAGAGAAAUUUGGAGUAACCUCGAUGUAGCUGGUAUUUGGUGUCUAG